rnacentral:RNase_P_RNA from 1 species
AAAGUGGGUCGGACGAUCGCUGGGGCCGAAAGGCCACCAGAGGAAGGUCCGGACUCCAUUGGAUAGGGUGCUGGCUAACGGCCAGGCGCAGCGAGUUGCGGUUGUCUUCGGUCAGCCAAAACCCAAGGCGACGGAAAGUGGCACAGAAAACAAACCGCCCGCUGGGUUUCGGCCCCGCGGGUAAGGGUGAAAAGGUGGGGUAAGAGCCCACCGCGGCGCUGGCGACAGCGUUGGCAGGCCAAACCCCACCCGGAGCAACACCAAAUAGGCAUACGCGUGCCUGCCUUGCGGCAAGCCCACCGAUGAUCCGUCGUUGUUUGCGUAUGUGGGUAGGUGGCUUGAGCGCGCUUGCAAGGGUGCGCCCAGAGGAAUGAUCGUCAGGCUUUUAGCCCUACAGAAUCCGGCCUACAGACCCGCUUUCCCC